UCCUUUUAAAAUUUAACUUUUUUCAUACAUGAUCCUUGAGAUGGUGUAAAUGUUUACACAGGUUGUAUAAGAAGGUGCAGUUUCAGACAGAAAACAUUCUUGAAGCAUAGGCGCCCUUAAUUAUGAACAUGACAAAAAAGGACCUUCGCUUACUUUUCUUGCAUGAGUUCAAGCUUGGGCACAAUGACUCCCAAACUACUGCCGAUAUCAACAGAGCAUAGGGUGAGGGGUCCACAAGUGAUCGCACUGUACGAAGGUGGUUUCAGAAAUUCCGUAGUGGUGAUGAGAACCUUGAAGAUGAAGAAGGUAGAGGAAGGUCAUGCAGUCUAGACAAUGAACGAUUGAAAGCAACUGUUGAAUAAAACCCACCCACGUCAAAGUGUCAAAGAAAUGUCUCAGGCACUUGGUGUCGGUAUUGCAACGGUCUCACGCAAUCUGCAGAAGAUUGGUAAAGUGUAAAAGCUCGAUAAAUGGGUACCGCAUGAGCUCAAUGAAAAUCAAAAUGUUUGGCGCUUUGAAGUGUGCUCGAUGCUCUUUCUGAGAAUCGCCAAUGAUCCUUUUCUCGACCAAAUAGUCAUUGUGACGAAAAGUAGAUCCUUUAUGAUAACCGUAAACGAUCAGGUCAAUGGCUUGAUCGUGACGAGUCCCCCAAACAUUUCCCAAAGCCAAUGUUGCAUCAGCAAAAUAUUAUGGUGACUGUCUGGUGGUCUGCAAGAGCAUUACAGCAGAGAUUUACUGCAACCAACUUGCUGAAAUGCAUGCUCACUUGCAAAAAAUGAGAUCUGCAUUGGUGAAUCGGUGUGGCCCAAUUCUUCUCCACGAUAAUGCAAAGCCACGUGUUGCAAGAAUGACACUGCAGAAACUCACAGACUUGGGAUACGAGACUUUACCACAUCCUCCAUAUUCUCCUGAUCUUUCACCCACUGACUACUAUUUUUUAAGCAUUUAAACACGUUUUUAAGUGAUUAAACUUUCAGGUCCAAACCA